UAAAGUGCGAUAUCUAGUGCGAUUUGCAUGAAUCUGUGAGUCAUCUAGUUUUUGAACGCAGCUUGCGCCACCUAGUGGCAUGUCUGUUUGAGUAUCAUAUACAACGAGAAAAUUGAGACUUCAAGUGUGACUUGUGUCUUGAAACAAAGAGUAUUCUGUGAAAGUGCGGAAAGCAUGUGUCAGUGACGUCAGUCAUCUCAUGUCCCUCCCCACUCCCCCACACACAAUAACAUAACCGAUCUCAAAUCAGACAAGAUUACCCGCUGAACUUAA
rnacentral:misc_RNA from 1 species